CGAACGCUGGCGGCGUGCCUUAAACAAUGGCAAGUCGAGCGCAGGAACCCGUCUGAACCCUUCGGGGGGACGACGGUGGAAUGAGCGGCGGACGGGUGAGUAACACGUAAAGAACCUGCCCAUAGGUCUGGGAUAACCACGAGAAAUCGGGGCUAAUACCGGAUGUGUCAUCGGACCGCAUGGUCCGCUGAUGAAAGGCGCUCCGGCGUCGCCCAUGGAUGGCUUUGCGGUGCAUUAGCUAGUUGGUGGGGUAACGGCCCACCAAGGCGACGAUGCAUAGCCGACCUGAGAGGGUGAUCGGCCACACUGGGACUGAGACACGGCCCAGACUCCUACGGGAGGCAGCAGUAGGGAAUCUUCCACAAUGGACGAAAGUCUGAUGGAGCAACGCCGCGUGAACGAUGAAGGCUUUCGGGUCGUAAAGUUCUGUUGUAAGGGAAGACAAGUGCCGCAGCAAUGCGCACC
rnacentral:rRNA from 1 species